GCCCAUUGCUGGUGUCCCCGCCGUAUUAUUGCGGGAAUAUAGCUAAAAGCGACGUAAAACUAAACUCAGUCUGUCCUUUCUUGACUUGAUGCAGUCGUCCAUCAAACAGGGGAUAUACUUAGCUUAAAGGUUACAGCUUUUACUCAUAGGAAGCCUACAGUGCUGAUCUGGGUUGGAAUUGAUCUUUAGCAACACAUGCUUGCCCUAAGAGUUGACUAACAGGAGCGAGUUGUCAGACCUGCUGACUUGGUUGACACGUGUAAUCAGUUCCCAAUUGUGUAGAUCGAUGCUCAUGAUGGUGAUCACUGGAUUGUGUGGUCCAGACUCAGUUAUUUUCAGACUGCCGCCAUAUUGCUGGAAUACUGCUCAGUGUGCAACGUUCGACAUUAAUGUCAGUCCUUAGGCCCAAAGCUGACCGAAAACCACUCGGACCCACAGCUUUUGUUUUCUGCAGGUCGUUAUGGCCGACAACUUUUUCAUCCCCUGUAACUAAGAGUAUUAUUUCCAUAUUAAAAUACAGGGCCUACACAUUCUGAUCACGACCCACAACUUGUUAUGGUUCUGGGUCCUAAGAGCCUGCAUGUUUUCAGGGUUAAGGGCAAACACUGAGUGUGGCAUUAAACCAGACCAAACAAACAUACAAAGCCCAGUGGUGAUGUCCUCUGCUCUGAUUAUUGGUGAAUUCGCAGAAAACUGUUUAAGAAAACACAUAAUAUUUAUUGCUUACGGUCUCAUAUUUUCUGGAUGAAAUUCUUAUCAAUAUGUUGUGACAUUUGUAACUCUCCCAAGGCAUGAAGAGGGACUGGUAGAGGUUUCCUUGUCAUUAAUCACCAGUACACCGGGGCUUGCCAAGACAUGAAGUGACCGCUGACUUCUCCAUUUGUGAUCUAGCACAUCUAAUGAUUUAGUUUGUGUGUGUGUGUACUGUUAUUUCUGAUACACAAGUAAAGGGAGGUUCUUUGUUUUAUGAUAUUGUUUCUGGCAAUAAUACUACUAUUGCAGAAACAGCUUUAACAUAACUAUGAAGAACCAGAAUUCGGCCUAACACUUAACAGAACAGGGCCCCGUUUCACAAAGCUCUCGUAAGCCUAAGAUCUCGUAACCUUUCUCGUAGCAUUCGCACCUAUACGCUAACAUAGGAAGUACGAAUGCUACGAGAAAAGUUGCGAGAUCUUAGGCUUACGAGAGCUUUGUGAAACGUGGCCCAGAAUUUUUACUCCAUUCAAACACUUCUGUGAAAGCCUGACAGACCGUCCAUGGGUGUUGUUGAAUUCAGCCUCAUCAUGAUUUUAAGUUACAUUGUAUAUUAAUAGAAACUACUGCGGUAAUCUAGACUUGGCAUAUUGUAGAGUUGAUUAAGCUGCAGUAGGUAUAUUUGUUUCAGGGUCAGGGCCCCAGAGAACUGUGUGAAAGCAAAACACUAUUGACGUAAAUCUGUAACUGGAUGGAACUAAACAGCGUAAUUUAAAAUAAUAGACGAGCUGAUACGUGUAUUGAAAGGUUGCAUGGUGGACACGAGUUCCCCCAAGAUAUAGCCAAGUGGACUUAAAUCUAUCAUCAUCUUUCUUUGUUCUAUUCUAGAGAACCAUCUGAAUCAAAGUCGAGAACAAAGAUGAAGUUUUGUGAUGCCAGGAUCCUGCUGGUGUUUAAGUGCUACAUUAAAUAUGAUUAAAGAGAUGACUGAC
rnacentral:lncRNA from 1 species